UACAGAGGGGGCGAGCGUUUGUUCGGAAUUACUGGGCGUAAAGGGCGCGUAGGCGGCCAACUAAGUCAGACGUGAAAUCCCUCGGCUCAACCGGGGAACUGCGUCUGAUACUGGAUGGCUUGAAUUCGGGAGAGGGAUGGCGGAAUUCCAAGGUGUGAGCGGUGAAAUGACGUAGAUAGUCUGGAGGAACACCGGGUGGCGAAGGCGGCAAUCCUGGACCGAGAUUGACGCUG
rnacentral:rRNA from 1 species